rnacentral:rRNA from 1 species
UACGUAGGGUGCAAGCGUUGUCCGGAAUUAUUGGGCGUAAAGAGCUCGUAGGCGGUUCGUCGCGUCGGCUGUGAAAACCCGGAGCUCAACUCCGGGCCUGCAGUCGAUACGGGCGGACUCGAGUUCGGCAGGGGAGACUGGAAUUCCUGGUGUAGCGGUGAAAUGCGCAGAUAUCAGGAGGAUCACCGAUGGCGAAGGCAGGUCUCUGGGCACUUACUGACGCUGAGGAGCGAAAGCGUGGGGAGCGAACAGG